rnacentral:rRNA from 1 species
AGUGAACGCUGGCGGUAGGCCUAACACAUGCAAGUCGAACGGCAGCACAGUAAGAGCUUGCUCUUACGGGUGGCGAGUGGCGGACGGGUGAGGAAUACAUCGGAAUCUACUUUUUCGUGGGGGAUAACGUAGGGAAACUUACGCUAAUACCGCAUACGACCUACGGGUGAAAGCAGGGGAUCUUCGGACCUUGCGCGAUUGAAUGAGCUGAUGUCGGAUUAGCUAGUUGGCGGGGUAAAGGCCCGCCAAGGCGACGAUCCGUAGCUGGUCUGAGAGGAUGAUCAGCCACACUGGAACUGAGACACGGUCCAGACUCCUACGGGAGGCAGCAGUGGGGAAUAUUGGACAAUGGGCGCAAGCCUGAUCCAGCCAUACCGCGUGGGUGAAGAAGGCCUUCGGGUUGUAAAGCCCUUUUGUUGGGAAAGAAAAGCAGCAGGUUAAUACCCCGCUGUUCUGACGGUACCCAAAGAAUAAGCACCGGCUAACUCCGUG